AAACAGAAAAAGUAAGAGUGUUGAGAGAGAGAGAGAGAGAGAGAGAGAGAGAGAGAGAUGGAUCCGAAACUCACAGAGGUUUCGCAGCUAUUCGAGAGAUUCAAAGCCGCUUUUAUUCGGAACGAUUUUGAUGCUUGAUCCAAACUCCUCUCUCAGCUCAAGGGCAUAUAUAUGAGCAUGCAGUUGUUUUAAGUGUGAAGAUUGAGGACCAGGGUGCCUUUGAAAGGGAUUUUUUUCAGUUGAAACCUUACUAUACCUUUAUAUUUUCAAUAUCCUCGGCAAAAAUGGAUGGCAAAUGAUGAAAUUAGGACCACAUGUUUUCAGGUUGUAUAAAAAAGGUCAUAUACUUUUUUGCCAUGUUUGAGUUGAUUUGGAGUCAUUUUUUGAGGAGAGUUUCUAGCUAUCUUCUUUUACCCCUCCACAAGUUAGAUGAACUCAGAAAACUAAACCGGACAAUGAAUUGUUUAUAUGUUCUAAUUUGUGUGGGCUAUUAUGUUAACAUUUGGUUUCUCUAGAUUGAAACCAGAUUUUUCUUUUCUGGCUUUUUUUCUUUUUUUGGUUGGUGCCAGUAGUUGCAGUUAGAUUUGAUGGACAAAAACAACACCUUCAGUUUAUGUUGUCUUGCUGCAUACCUAUGUGAUAAAUUAUUGCGUUGUAUGUAGGAAUGGCAAUGGGGCGGGGUGGGGCCGGGGAUCACACUCCCCAUCCCCGAUCCCCGAUCCCCGAUCUCCGAUGGCAAAAAAUCCCCCGUCCCUGGCCCCGAUCCCCGACGGGGAACCUAUUACCGUCCCCAUCCCGGUCCCCUAAUGGGGAUCAGGUUUCUCCGACCCUGAUAAUUCCCUGGUCGAAAAAAAAAAAAAAA